UUACUUUCAGAUGUGAAGAGGGGUCCCACAGAUGAUUUCAGAAUUUCCAAGGUUACACGAUACCUCAUCGUCAGAGCCCUUCAAGUUAUAAUGUGGAAAUAACAGAGAAGCCAAGAAACAUAUCUCGUCAGUUGUCUCCACAAACGCACUGUUCUCCGAGAGAUUUGAAGCUUUUGCAGAAAAUUUGAUGGUCAUUAUUGUAAAAGUGUAAAAAAAAAGUACAUGAACAAGACAUUGAGUAUCUCAUCUAGAAUUCAUUGGACUUUCUCCUCGGCAUUUGUCUAGUUUAAAAAUUGCUGGUGGUCUGAGGUAACAGUUACAGCAAUGGAACAGCUGAGAAGAGACCAAAGGGAACUAGUUAAGAGUUGAGACAGAGAACAAUGCAUCUGGUGCUGAAGGGAUACUAUAGAGAAUUUUUAAUGUUAUUUAUUUCCGUGGCUUGGAUUUUAUCUCCUAUGAAUGAGAACUUAAGAAUAAUUUCCAUUUGUAUUGUACAUAUCUUACACAUCUUCAUCGAUACUCUUACAUCAGUUCUCCUCAUAUGAGGUUAGGUGUUUGAAGGAUUUUCUCCACUGUCUUAGACCUAUAUAGUUUCAGUUAGAAUUCCCUCUUAAUUUCAGACCAUGCCUUGCCCUUAGCCUCUCUCCCGUCAUUGUAAACUUAGUUUUGCUUGCUUUGGUUUUCAGUCUUGAGCUCUCUUUUCCAUUCUUCCAUUUUUGAAAUAUAAUUACAAGACCUCUUUCUCUGACACCAUUGCUCUGUGAUAGACACCAGUGUUUGUCUCAAUUUCUCUGGAUGUUUUUACCGCUAUAUUCACGCAAGUUCUAAUAGCUUGAUAAAGUUCUAACACCUUCUUGUGCCCUUUGUUUUUGUAAGUCUCAAUCUAACUGCUUCUCUAGGUAUUUCGUCCAGUGCUUUCUCAAGACAUACCAACACAUCACUCCCUUGUCUUGCAUGUUUCCUCUCAUGUAGUCAUUGAUUUUAACAGAUUUUUUUAACAGUUCUUCCAUCACCCAUACUUAAGUACACUGCGUUUCAGCAGUCUUCCUCCUCCUCUGUAUUUUGCUCGGCACUAUGAGUUACCUUAACCUUGACGUGUAAUUUGCAUAAUCUCUCUUCUCAUUCUUGUAGUUCCAUCACUGCCUCUUUAAUACUGCCUUAAAGGACCCUGCACUAUUUCCUUCUUGUGUCUGACCUGUUGCUCACAUUCUGUAUUUCUUGAUGUGUAUGUGUAGGCAUUUAUUCAUUUCCAUUAUGCCUCUUCGUAAGCAUUUAUUCAUUUCCAUUAUGCCUCUCCUGCAUAGGAUUUUGUAUCCUGAUAGUUAAUGACCUUUCAACACAAUUCUCCCUGUAAAUUAGUAAGUUAUCUGUAUUGUUGACUAUUUAGUUAUUAAUUUGAUUUAUAUUUUCCUUUUUAAUAGGUGAUCUCGUCUUUCUGUAUUUUCCAUUUCCUUCUGUUACUUCUUUCUAAUGAACGUCAUAAUAUCCUUUGGAAGCUUGAAUUUCAAGUCAGUGCCCCUUUGGUGGGCUUGUUCCUUGUGAAUAGGGUUCAUUUUCUGAACGAUAAUAAUAAUAAUUUAAGACUUCCUACAACUGCAAGAGAUGUUUGCUCAUUUUGAGUUGGCUACUAUUUCAUUGUAUUCUGGUUGAUUCCUCAAUGGUUAUUUCUCUCUCUCUUCGGUGCAUUGUUCAUGUCUGAAGGAAGGAUUCCCCUAACUCUUCAGAUGUUGCAUUCUUUGUUGAGAUCUGUAAUGAUCCCUCUCUCUAAUCAACAUUGCCAGUUCAGUCUCUUUCUCUUCUAGAAGAUCUGCAAGCACUGCUUUUACUGUUCCACACUGUCUUUGUAUUAUAUACUUUUUCCCUUUUCAUGUCAUAUGUGUUUACUCUUACAUUAUUCAAGACAGGUUCAUUCUCUGAUUUCACACAUGCCCCAGCACCUCCUUACUGAGCCACUUGCCUGUUUUCCUCCUCUUAUCAUAGAUUGCAUGAGGUUGCCCAGGUCAUUCACUAUUUCCUGUGGUAUUUUUCUGGUUCCUAGCUGACUGACAGGAGUAUCUGUUGUUUUUAUUUCUAUCUACAACACUUGUACGGGGCUACCAAUUAAGUUGCAACUUGCUUGGCUUAAUGUAGAUGGUACAAAGUAUACUCUUUGGCAUCUGUUAGACCUUGAAUAUAUUGCUUUCUGCCCUUUACUUUUCAACUUUGCAUUGUUCAAUUUUCAGGAUUAAUUUUUUUUAUAUAUAUUGUCCAUUACUCAGUCCUUUGUUCACAAAGAUUUGAAGAAUGUUUAAUGGAAGCAUGUUAACUUUGAGUUGAAAAUGCAAGAAACUUUGAGAAUGUUAAUGGCGAGUUGCAAAUACAAAAAACUUAUUAAUUUUUGUUAUGGAAUUUUGUGAGAGUUGUCAGCAGUAUUAGAAAUAACAAGUUGCACAUUUUUAGAGAACUGCAAUUUAUUAGAUAAAACUAAAAUUUUGCUGUUAAUAACUAACCAUUCAAGUCAGCCUAAUGAGAAUUUAAUGCUUUAUCUGCUUUAUUGUCUUAGUAAUUCAAGAAAUUAUCCAGGGAGUCUUGUGAGGGUCCAACAAUGUGACUUUGUGGUCUUGUUAAUGAGUGUACAGUAUAAGUGCAAAGGUGCCUUAUAAUAUUUUUGUAAUGAAGUAUUUUAUUUUGACUAGGUUUUUACAGUUAAUUUAUAUGUAGAAGCAUUUAUAAUGUUAUAUUUAGAAGUAUUUUCGUAUUUUAUUGUUCUUUACAUGUAAUGUUUCAUUGCA